AUUGAACGCUGGCGGCAUGCCUUACACAUGCAAGUCGAACGGCAGCGCGGACUUCGGUCUGGCGGCGAGUGGCGAACGGGUGAGUAAUACAUCGGAACGUACCCUGUUGUGGGGGAUAACUAGUCGAAAGAUUAGCUAAUACCGCAUACGACCUGAGGGUGAAAGUGGGGGACCGGAAACGGCCUCAUGCAGCAGAAGCGGCCGAUGUCUGAUUAGCUAGUUGGUGGGGUAAAGGCCCACCAAGGCGACGAUCAGUAGCUGGUCUGAGAGGACGAUCAGCCACACUGGGACUGAGACACGGCCCAGACUCCUACGGGAGGCAGCAGUGGGGAAUUUUGGACAAUGGGGGCAACCCUGAUCCAGCAAUGCCGCGUGUGUGAAGAAGGCCUUCGGGUUGUAAAGCACUUUUGUCCGGAAAGAAAUCGCGCUGGUUAAUACCUGGCGUGGAUGACGGUACCGGAAGAAUAAGCACCGGCUAACUACGUG
rnacentral:rRNA from 1 species